ACCCUGAUCCAGCCAUGCCGCGUGUGUGAAGAAGGCCCUCGGGUUGUAAAGCACUUUCAGCGAGGAAGAACGCCUGUCGGUUAAUACCCGGUAGGAAAGACAUCACUCGCAGAAGAAGCACCGGCUAACUCCGUGCCAGCAGCCGCGGUAAUACGGAGGGUGCAAGCGUUAAUCGGAAUUACUGGGCGUAAAGCGCGCGUAGGUGGCUUGAUAAGCCGGUUGUGAAAGCCCCGGGCUCAACCUGGGAACGGCAUCCGGAACUGUCAGGCUAGAGUGCAGGAGAGGAAGGUAGAAUUCCCGGUGUAGCGGUGAAAUGCGUAAAGAUCGGGAGGAAUACCAGUGGCGAAGGCGGCCUUCUGGACUGACACUGACACUGAGGUGCGAAAGCGUGGGUAGCAAACAGGAUUAAAUACCCUGGUAGUCCACGCCGUAAACGAUGUCGACCAGCCGUUGGGUGCCUAGAGCACUUUGUGGCGAAGUUAACGCGAUAAGUCGACCGCCUGGGGAGUACGGCCGCAAGGUUAAAACUCAAAUGAAUUGACGGGGGCCCGCACAAGCGGUGGAGCAUGUGGUUUAAUUCGAUGCAACGCGAAGAACCUUACCUACCCUUGACAUCUACAGAAGCCGGAAGAGAUUCUGGUGUGCCUUCGGGAACUGUAAGACAGGUGCUGCAUGGCUGUCGUCAGCUCGUGUUGUGAAAUGUUGGGUUAAGUCCCGUAACGAGCGCAACCCUUGU
rnacentral:rRNA from 1 species